CCGUUAGGAGGGAAACGAAUGCAGCCAAAGUGGCUCUCAUUCAGGCUCAGGAGUUGUUGGCCUGCAGUGCCGGGCUGUUGGACGCCGAAGGGUGCUGCAGCCAGGAUACAGCAGCCGACCGCUCUGCAUUCCUGAUGAGAGUCGGCCAACAGCAGUUACCCCUGACUCGGGAGGGUCGGCGGGAAGGUAGCUUCUUGGUUUACCAGGAAGAACUUAUAGCCAUCGGCCUGGCAGUUGGGGGUGACCGAGGAGUGCUGUGACUUUUCACACCAGCAGUGCAGGCUCCCUAGGGGCCGGGUCGCUUCUGUCCGUGUGGGCAAUGCUUCUGGGACUGCGUGCAGUGUCGGAGGACAUGUGUGUGCUCGGGUGGGAGGUCGGCCACGCCAUGCACUGAAGUUGUUGGUACCUGGAUGGUUUCAUUCGACCCGUCUUGAAACACGGACCAAGGAGUGCAACAUGCGUGCGAGUCUUGGGGUGGAAAACCUGUUGGCGCAAUGAAAGUGAAGGUAGGCAUUGGUCUACCGAGGCAAGAGCCUCCUUAGGGGGGCACAUUGUCGACCGAUCCCAGGCUACGCUGUAGUGGGAUUUGAGUGAGAGCGUGCCUGUUGCGACCCGAAAGAUGGUGAACUAUGCCUGAA
rnacentral:rRNA from 1 species